ensembl:scaRNA
GUGUGUGUGUGUGUGUGUGUGUGUGUGUGUGUGUGUGUGUGUGUGUGUGUGUGUGUGUGUGUGUGUGUGUGUGUGUGUGUGUGUGUGUGUGUCUGUGUCUGUGAGAGAGAGAGAGAGAGAGUUUGUCCGUGUGUGUGUGAGGCGCCAGCCACCCUCCCUCCCUACACGUUGAUCUUAUUCGAUCGGCCGGGCCCCGCCGGGCCGAGGUGAGAAGAAAGCGCCGCGAAGCCCUCGGGCGCUGUGCGGCUGGGCCGGGCGGGAUGAGUCGAUCAGAUAGGCGAGGCCACGGCCGCUGAGCGCCCUGCGAUUCUGACCCGA